AAUAGGACAAACUAUAAAAAGAUGUUCAGGGGAGGAAGCACCCCCACCCCCAAGGCAGGCCCAUCCUGAAGGAUUUGGUGGAGGGGGAAAGUCCCUUAAAGACUGUGGGAAAAGGGAGCCUAAAAACAUGAGAGUUGGAGUUUGAUCCUUCAGACUGGAAGGCUGAUCCAGGAGACAGGAUCAGACGUGCCCAAAGGAGUAUUUGGAGUGAACUAGAUUCACCAGAGAGAAACAGAAGAAGAAAAAUGGAGAGGUGUGUCCGAGGUUCCCAAGGCCAUCUCUAGGAUCUAUGAGGAUGACUCACAAGACUCAGCAAAGGGUCAAAGUCACAGCAAUGAUUUACUGGCACAAAAGGAUGCAGAACAAAGUGGGCAUGGGGAGAUGUCUGAAGGAAGACAAACAGGAGUUUCCGGGAAUCCUCCUGGAAAUUAGCCGAAUGUUCUUAACUCCUCCACCUCCAAACUACGACAACCAGGUCAAAUGUUGCUUGGUAGAGCCAGAGUCCCAUUAGACACUCAGUGCCCAGAGUUUUAUUGAUGACUUGUCACAUAAGUGCCCUCUCCCUAGCAAGUAUGAAAUUCCAGACUUCAGGAAGGAAAGCAGGUGUCCGGCAGAAAACACUGUUUGCACAAAGACUUCAAGAACAUUGAGCAACUCCUCAGUUAGGGAAUGGUGGAGACUUAUGUUGAGUCCAACUUCUCUUAUGCCAGCCAAGCUUUCAAGCAGGCCUCUCCAAGGAUAGCAAUUGCAGACCCGCGGGGUUAAACCUUUUCUACACAAGGAGUUAGUAGGGGGUUGUCCUAGGAGGACUUUAGACAUGAACUCAAGGGGACUGGACUUCAUUCCCAAAAAAGACAAAAGACGAUGGUACUCCAGAAGGACACACAGAAAGAAAGAGCGAGCCAUCAGAAGUGAUAUGCCGGAUGCUGAAGUAAGGAUUCCUGGAGGGAAGAUUCCAGAAAGAUAAGUCAUCAGCUAAGGCUAGAGGGGAGUGGUUCACGUGGAGAUAGUUGUUCAUGCUUAGCAGUUUCCCAGGAGAAGGAGAGCUCAGAGGGAUACUGGGCCUAGAGGAGAACGAGGUUACCCAACAGAAACCACGGAGGGAGAAACUUAGAAUUGCACAUUCCCAGGGGCCCCAAGUACCAGACACUUGGCCCUGGGGAUUGUCCACUGCAGAAUGUCAUCGUGUGCAUUCCAUGUGAGCAACUGUGGAGACAGGAAUGGGACUUCAGGCCAGCCGGUUGCACUGAUGAUAAGUCACUCUUAUCACCUGGCCCCUUGGUAUUUACUUAGAGUUUGUGGGCACAUUCUAAGAACAUGUAGGCCGCUGGCCAGCUCCCAGAGCUUAGAAGCACCAGGGCCAGAUCUGAGCUGGAGGUUAUAGCAGAAGCAAAGGGGGCUUCCAGAACUUAUUUCCGGAAAAGAGUCCUUAUUUGAAAAUACCAGUUCUUCUACUUUUAUGCAAGACUCUCUCUUUGGUGGGUCUCUGGAAUGCUCACCUCUUACAUCAGCUAAAGCUUUGUGAUUCCCAGAGGAGUCCAUCUACUCUCCCACAGUUCC
rnacentral:lncRNA from 1 species